UGACUGUGGAAGAUAGAAUAGAAAUUGCAACAAAAAAAAUCUUAACUCUAAUAGAACACUAAAUAAAUUCUAAUUAAACUAUAACAAUACUAAGUAAGCUUUAAUCAAAUUCAAAAGAAACCUUAAAGAAAUUACAAAUGAAAUAAUAAGAAAUCUUAAAAGAAUUAAAAAAAAAAUCUACAAUAAACCUUAAAAAUAUCCUUAAGAAAUUCUAAAGAAAUAUAAGAAUAAUCACAAAUAUAUCUUAAAUAGAUCACAAUCAAAUCCUAGUUUAAUCUAAAUUAAAAUGCUAAUGGACUUCAAUCAAAUCCUAAACUCUAAACCAAAUCUUAAAUAAAUCUUAAAUCCUAAACUCAACCCUAAUCAAAUCUUAAAGCUUAAAUCAAAUCCUAAAUAAAUACUAAAUCUUAAACCAAAUCCUAACCAAAUCCUAGACAAAUCCCAAAUCCUAACCAAACUCUAGUCAAAUCCUAAAUUCUAAACCAAAUCCUAAUCAAAUUUUAAAUACUAAAUCAAAUCUUAAUUAAAUCUUAAAUCUUAAAUCAAAUCUUAAUCAACUUCUAAAUCCUAAAUCAAAUCCUAAACCAAAUCCUAGACAAACCCUAAAUCUUAAAUCAAAUUCUAACCAAAUCCUAACUUUAAACCAAACCUUAAUCAAAUCCUAA
rnacentral:lncRNA from 1 species